GCAACAAAUGGAGACAAUUCAAUUCGGAAUGUUUUGGAGCAGCUUUUUAUGGAGAAAUCAAAAGGAAUAGAACUGGAGAAAAUGAUGAUUAAAAUGAAUUCCACUAUCGGCGAAAUGAAGUCCACGAUUGUCUCUCUUAAAACAGAAAUGGAAACACGCAAAAGAUUUAGAUGUGAAUCUGGUGUUUUUGGAUAACACGUUUACCCGCCUCCCGUUAUCUGGCUACAUGAAAAAAAACAUAGUGUUAAAGACAGCAUUUCAAGAAACACCAACCUUGACGUAUGGACUUUACUAGAUUCCAGUACCAGUAAUAAUUUGCGUGUGAAUACUGUUACA